UACGUAGGUUGCAAGCGUUGUCCGGAUUUACUGGGCGUAAAGGGUGCGUAGGCGGACAUUUAAGUCAGAUGUGAAAUACCCGAGCUUAACUUGGGUGCUGCAUUUGAAACUGGGUGUCUAGAGUGCAGGAGAGGUAAGUGGAAUUCCUAGUGUAGCGGUGAAAUGCGUAGAGAUUAGGAAGAACACCAGUGGCGAAGGCGACUUACUGGACUGUAACUGACGCUGAGGCAUGAAAGCGUGGGGAGCAAACAGG
rnacentral:rRNA from 1 species